AUUGAACGCUGGCGGCAGGCCUAACACAUGCAAGUCGAGCGGAUGAGUGGGGCUUGCUCCAUGAUUCAGCGGCGGACGGGUGAGUAAUGCCUAGGAAUCUGCCUGGUAGUGGGGGACAACGUUUCGAAAGGAACGCUAAUACCGCAUACGUCCUACGGGAGAAAGUGGGGGAUCUUCGGACCUCACGCUAUCAGAUGAGCCUAGGUCGGAUUAGCUAGUUGGUGAGGUAAAGGCUCACCAAGGCGACGAUCCGUAACUGGUCUGAGAGGAUGAUCAGUCACACUGGAACUGAGACACGGUCCAGACUCCUACGGGAGGCAGCAGUAGGGAAUUUUCGGCAAUGGGGGAAACCCUGACCGAGCAAUGCCGCGUGAACGAUGAAGGUCUUCGGAUUGUAAAGCUCUUUCGGACGGAAAGAAAUCGCCGCCUCUAACAUAGGCGGUGGAUGACGGUACCGUAAGAAGAAGCACCGGCUAACUACGUGCCAGCAGCC
rnacentral:rRNA from 1 species